UACAGAGGUCCCAAGCGUUGUUCGGAUUCACUGGGCGUAAAGGGUGCGUAGGUGGCUGGGUAAGUUUGAUGUGAAAUCUCCGGGCUCAACUCGGAAAUGGCAUUGAAUACUAUCCAGCUAGAGGCUUGGAGGGGGGACUGGAAUUCUCGGUGUAGCAGUGAAAUGCGUAGAUAUCGAGAGGAACACCAGUGGCGAAGGCGAGUCCCUGGACAAGACCUGACACUGAGGCACGAAAGCUAGGGGAGCAAACAGGAUUAGAAACCCCCGUAGUCC
rnacentral:rRNA from 1 species